rnacentral:lncRNA from 1 species
UGCUCAAGGGAUCUAAGAUUUAACUGUCAAUUCUUAUAUGGUCAUCCAUAUUAUAUUUUAAUUUUUAAAAUCUAUUACAUGGAUUACCUCGAUCAAGAUUUUACUGAAUUAAAACAUACUGAUACUUAACUCCUACUUAUUUAGAGGGAUCAAUUCCAUCUUGACUUACAUACCGACUUCGCAAGUACUUGACUGUGUCCAAAAAUUUUUUAUCACUGAAUUAAAAAUUCAGAUAGUCUGGUACCAAAGCACAGUGAAUUGCUUGCAAGUCAUCAUGGUGGUC